UGUCGAAUGACGUUAUUUGAUUACACAUAGGAAUAAAGUAUAUCCUUACUAUCAUAUAUAUAUAUACAUAUAUAUAUAUAUGAUAUUUAUAUAUACAUAUAUAUAUGAAUGUUACAUAUUUAUAUAUGACAAGAGAGAAUCACAUUAUUAUUUGAUGGUAGAUCAAAAGACGAAAUAAUGAAGAUGAUACGGUCGUUAUGUACAGUAUUACAUAUAGGAGUGCGUUAACCGAUACGAAUAACCUGGCUAUCUAUUAAAGUUACUAUCCUGUCGAUUACCCAUUAAUAAUAUCAUGUUUAAGAAAUGUUUCAUGUAUUUUUAAUGAUAUUAUGUGUAUUUUACUAUGAAAGCAAAUAAUGGAGGUUUCCGAGACGCGAAACCUCGUUAGAGAUUUAGAUUUGACUCUUCAACCCCGUAUCGCACCACGUUAUAAAACUUGGCUACCCCUUGCUACGCAGCAGUUGAGACUUAGGAGUUUGAUCCAAAUAAUUGGAUAUAAAUUGAGGGCAAAUGUAAAUAGCGAGAUCAGUUGGUUUUAUUAUACUUUACAUAGAACAACUAUGUCAUCGCCGAUAUAUACAAGCGAAUUAAUAGAUAAUGCCAAUCCUAGAUGGUCUAGCCUGGAAGUACCUACUUUACAUGCCACAGGUUAUUCAUCUGCCAGUGAAAUAAUCUUAAGGCUAUGGAAAAGAACGGCUGUGGGUAGUAAUACAUCAGAUAUAACUGUAUUUACAUGGGGUAUUUCUUUUACUGGCCUUGCAUAUAUCGGUCCUAAAUUACCCAGCAACUUGGAAAAAAUUCUUAAAGAAAAUUCUAUAAUUUUUUACUUCAAUGGCGGCUUUUUUACACCUGCAUAUUGUUUCAUAACAACACCAGAGUUGAAAAGAUAUCUCCGUAUAAGCAUUAACGCAAGUGAAGUAAAAGACAGUUAUACUGUCAAUAAAUUGACUAGCUUGAGAAGCAAGAUGCAAGCGCUUAAACAACAGACCAAUUCGGUGGAAGCUUUAAGAAUGCGCAUUGCCUCUGGUGAUAAUUUUCAAACACCAAAAUAUCCUCAAUCUUCUUUGAAUAGAUUAUUUCAACCUCGUACAGUUAAUAGAGAAAAAAAAGCUGAAAUACUUAAAAUACGUAAGGAAUUAGAAAUGGCCAAAUUUCGAACAAAGCUAUUAGAACAGGAAAGGGCAAGGAAAAUGGGAGAAUUAAGAGUACUAAACCAACUACAUACUACUAUUUCAGAAGAAAAUCAAGAUCAUGGUUCCGAUUUGAUGGAAAGAUAUAGAGAACUUAACAAAGAUAUUGAAAGAUUGCAUGAAUGGCGUCAAAGUCAUAUUGAUACCAGAGAAACUUACAUUCAAAUGAGCAGUCAAUUGGCUCAUCGUCGACGUCAAUUAAUUUCAGAACUAAGUUUAAUUUAUCCCAUUAAACAGGAUAGCAAUGGAAAAUUCACAAUACAUGACAUACAUUUACCAGAUAGCGAAGAUUUGGAAUUGGCAAAUGAUACUCAAGUAGCCGUGGCAUUGGGCUUUGUAACACAUACAACACAAAUGAUUGCAAAUUUUCUCAAUAUACCUACUAGAUAUCCUAUCAUACAUUAUGGCUCUCGUAGUAAAAUUAUAGAUCACAUUAUAGAAAACCUUCCUGAUAAUGAUAGGCAAUUUCCAUUAUUUGCCAAAGGUAAAGAUAGAUUGCAAUUUCACUACGCUGUUUAUCUAUUAAAUAAAAACAUAGCUCAAUUACGUUGGUAUUGUGGUCUUCCUACUACCGAUUUAAGAGCCACGUUAUCAAAUUUAUCGACCUUGUUAAAAAUGAAGCCAAACCAAUCACAUUUGGAUAAUUCGAAAAGAACAUUUUCUACUUCAUCGUUAGAUACAGAAGUAGGUAAUGGUAAACAGAAUGUUCCUCUUACACCGCCAAUACAGAAAAUUAUUUUUGAGAAAUGCCACAGAUCGUCACGAUCGAUGGGCCAAUUAAAAUCAAUUAAAUCUUCCCUGGGAUCUUCUUUAGAUCAAGGUCUAGACAAACCUGUACAGCCUCUUGUUUUAGGUAGUCAAUCUAAACGAAUUUGCAAAUCGGAAGAAAGUGCCAUAGACGACAGAACAUUAAUGUUAGCUAGAAACAGAUCUAGCACUAGCAGUAACGAAACAUUAAAUUGUACUGUACUGAAUAAUACUAUCACUACAAAUGUAAGUGAUGAUUUUCUUCAAAAUAAUGAUUGCGUUACGAUUGACAAUAAUAUUGAAAUAACAAUACCUACAUCUGUGUCUAAAUCAGCAAAUGUUACUGAUAGUUUAGAAGGUUCUGUCAGUAUUAGGGAUAGAAGUUCUAAUUCCAUAAGUAGUUGUGAAAUGGCCUUAAGUGGUAGUCAAAAUGAUGGAGACGAAAGCCCGAAUGAAAAAAGUGCGAUCAAAAGAGAAGAGACCGAACAAAAUAUUUCAAUGAAUCAUGACAACGUAAAAAACAUUAAAGAUAACGUGGAGGAUACAAUGAAAAACGGAGAACAUACCAAUACGUCACAUUUAGAUAAUACUUCACAAAAUUAUUGUAUGCAUUAUAACGUCAAAAAUGAUUACAAUUUUGACGUUUUAGAACAAACAGAACCCUUCACGAUUAAUUCGUCUAAAGAACGUAAUGCUAAAUCUUGCUUGUCUCUAGACGAUAUAAUAAGAUGUACUUAUGAUGAAACUGAAAAGAACGAAAGAACAAAUUCUAUUUGUAGUUAUACGGAAAAGUGUCAUAUAUCUAACAACAAAGUAUUAGAUAAACAAUUUUCUUCUCAACUAAGAAGUAGGACAACAAAGUGAACACUGGUCUGAAGAAAAUGAAGAGGAUAUCUUUAUUAAACAUAACGCGGUGUUAAAUAAAGAUUCAAUAAUGUCGACACAAAAAAGCGACAAUACCGUCACCGACUAUAACUGUAUGGUCGAAGAAAAAAUUAAUCAGUGCGAAUUUCAAGCAUCAAGCGAUUAUAUAGAUAUUAUUAGACGCAGUUCAGAAAAUGUCUAUGCACGUACUGAAGCCUUAGCUAAUAAGAAAACUAGCUUCAAAGUUAUGAAACCACGGCUGUAAUAUUUAUUAACUAAAAUAUAAAGUUAUUGUAUAUGCGAGUAAAUCUUGUAAAAAAAAAAUUUGAAAGAGUUAUUCUCAGUACAUAUAGAAGAAGAAUAUGUGUUAGGAUCGAAGUAUGUAACUUUGAUCGAAUUUAUCUUUAUUAUUGUUGCAAAAAGAAAAAUAGUAAAUGAUGGGGAAGGAAGGAAGGGUUACAUUGUUUUAUAAAUAUUAUUUUCUUAAAAGUGUAAUCGCGUCGUAAAUAUACAUUCGAAUACAAAUUUAUAUCAUAAAACGAUAAAUAUAAUCGUAGUAAUUUUUCAUAGAAGUUGCAUAAUUGCAUUGAGAAUCGUAGACGAAAGAAAAAGUAAAAGUAAAGAUUAUGUGAUUCUAUUUAUAAUAUCUCGAUAUCAUUUUUUCUAUCUUUAAUAAUGUUCUAUAGCUUGCUUAAUUGUAUAAUAUAUACAUAGUAUUUGUGAUUUAUAUUUUAUCUAUUAUCUUUUAAAUGACUAUAUUUUAUUAAGCAGAUAUAACAUCGUGUAUAUUUCAAAACAAAAUUGAAAAAUAUUAUUUCACUUUUAGCUUUCGGCUGGGUCGAGUUUGUGCUUACAAUGUAAAACAUAAUAUAUAAAAAUCUAGAUUUGUUUUAAUGUUUAAGAUUAUUUAAAGAUUGGAUAUAAAUCUAUAUAAGAGGACCAACCAAAGUUCAAACGCAUUUACCGAGUGUGAUUAUAAUUUAUUAGAUAAAUAUUACAUGUAUAUUUGAAUUUAUUAAGAUGGUUAAAAAGAUUUUUCGUUAUAUUUAAUCUUUCUUAAUUAAGAUAAUAAUAUAUCAUAGUUUCGUCUUUAUUUUUUGUCAAUUUCGAACAACAAUCAAACGUCGCAAAUGUUAUAUCUAUGAAGUUAUUUCAUUAUUAUUCUUUUCUUUUCAUUAUACUUAUCACGAAUGCUACGCAAUAUAUAAAAAGAAAAAUAUAAAAUUAAAGCAAGAUUGCACACAA
rnacentral:misc_RNA from 1 species